AGUGAACGCUGGCGGUAGGCCUAACACAUGCAAGUCGAACGGCAGCACAGUAAGAGCUUGCUCUUACGGGUGGCGAGUGGCGGACGGGUGAGGAAUACAUCGGAAUCUACUUUUUCGUGGGGGAUAACGUAGGGAAACUUACGCUAAUACCGCAUACGACCUACGGGUGAAAGCAGGGGAUCUUCGGACCUUGCGCGAUUGAAUGAGCCGAUGUCGGAUUAGCUAGUUGGCGGGGUAAAGGCCCACCAGGGCGACGAUCCGUAGCUGGUCUGAGAGGAUGAUCAGCCACACUGGAACUGAGACACGGUCCAGACUCCUACGGGAGGCAGCAGUGGGGAAUAUUGGACAAUGGGCGCAAGCCUGAUCCGGCCAUACCGCGUGGGUGAAGAAGGCCUUCGGGUUGUAAAGCCCUUUUGUUGGGAAAGAAAAGCAGCAGGUUAAUACCCCGCUGUUCUGACGGUACCCAAAGAAUAAGCACCGGCUAACUUCGU
rnacentral:rRNA from 1 species